GAAUUUGUUACGGACCAGCAAAAAUUUUGUUGUCUGAGAUAAAGCGUUAAAGUUUCAUACUUGAAGACUGCCAGUCAGAAGACCGAGAUAAAAUUUUGGUUCCUUUCGGAUAGAGAUUUCGUGAGGUUUGGUUCAACGUUGAUCUGCAAAGAAAAUGAAGAAAGAUCAAGUGCGGAAUCUUUUAUCUCCAGUGCUAAUGAAAUGUGGAAGCGGUCUGU